rnacentral:rRNA from 1 species
UGCAGUCGAACGGUGAUGAUGGGAGCUUGCUUCUGUCUGAUCAGUGGCGAACGGGUGAGUAACACGUGAGUAACCUGCCCCAGACUCUGGGAUAACCCCGGGAAACCGGAGCUAAUACCGGAUAUGACACCAAUCCGCAUGGGUAUGGUGUGGAAAGUUUUUCGGUCUGGGAUGGACUCGCGGCCUAUCAGCUUGUUGGUGAGGUAGUGGCUCACCAAGGCGACGACGGGUAGCCGGCCUGAGAGGGCGACCGGCCACACUGGGACUGAGACACGGCCCAGACUCCUACGGGAGGCAGCAGUGGGGAAUAUUGCACAAUGGGCGGAAGCCUGAUGCAGCGACGCCGCGUGAGGGAUGACGGCCUUCGGGUUGUAAACCUCUUUCAGCAGGGAAGAAGCGCACGUGACGGUACCUGCAGAAGAAGCACCGGCUAACUACGUGCCAGCAGCCGCGGUAAUACGUAGGGUGCGAGCGUUGUCCGAAUUAUUGGGCGUAAAGAGCUUGUAGGUGGUUUGUCGCGUCUGCUGUGAAAAUCCGAGGCUCAACCUCGGACUUGCAGUGGGUACGGGCAGACUAGAGUGUGGUAGGGGAGACUGGAAUUCCUGGUGUAGCGGUGGAAUGCGCAGAUAUCAGGAGGAACACCGAUGGCGAAGGCAGGUCUCUGGGCCAUUACUGACACUGAGAAGCGAAAGCAUGGGGAGCGAACAGGAUUAGAUACCCUGGUAGUCCAUGCCGUAAACGUUGGGAACUAGGUGUGGGUCGCAUUCCACGUGAUCCGUGCCGCAGCUACGCAUUAAGUUCCCCGCCUGGGGAGUACGGCCGCAAGGCUAAAACUCAAAGGAAUU